AAUCGAUGAUGUGCGCACUUCCUUAGCAUUAUUUUAAAAUGCUCUCACGCCUUGUAUAGGGUCUCACUUUCGUAUUGUUUGAAAUUUGCGAUUUCUCACCUCAACU
rfam:Gossypium raimondii chromosome 13, whole genome shotgun sequence.